rnacentral:rRNA from 1 species
GAUGAACGCUAGCGGCAGGCUUAAUACAUGCAAGUCGUGGGGCAGCAGGGGUAGCAAUACUCGCUGGCGACCGGCAAACGGGUGCGGAACACGUACACAACCUUCCUUUAAGCGGGGAGUAGCCCAGAGAAAUUUGGAUUAAUACCCCAUAGUAUAUUGAUUAGGCAUCUAAUUGGUAUUAAAGAUUUAUCACUUGAAGAUGGGUGUGCGGCUGAUUAGGUAGUUGGCGAGGUAACGGCUCACCAAGCCUACGAUCAGUAGCUGAUGUGAGAGCAUGAUCAGCCACACGGGCACUGAGACACGGGCCCGACUCCUACGGGAGGCAGCAGUAAGGAAUAUUGGACAAUGGGCGAAAGCCCGAUCCAGCCAUGCCGCGUGAAGGAUUAAGGUCCUCUGGAUUGUAAACUUCUUUUAUAUGGGACGAAAAAAGGGCAUUCUUGCUCACUUGACGGUACCAUGUGAAUAAGCACCGACUAACUCCGUGCCAGCCGCCGCAGUAUAC